rnacentral:lncRNA from 1 species
CCCACACGUCGAACAUGCGUGUUCUACUGCGGUUCACGUAAUUUUCCAUUGUCUCCUUCUCCCGCCUUAUAUGUCAACUACCAUUAAGAAAACUGGAUCGACGAAGAAGCAGAGUGUCAGAGUUGCAGCGUCAGCGAUUCAAAGAAAGGCUCGCUCGGAUACUUGGAUCGCGGAUCUGAAGUAAAUGGAUGUUGUGAGGUAUUGAACAUGGCUUACUAACACAAGUUUCAAUGCACGGAUUACGGGGACGACAAGAGGAGAACUAGACGUGUGUUACCCUUGGCUCGGUGGAGCGUGAAUUAGUGUAGUUUUGGGUAGUUUUUGCAUGCGGACGAAGAUGAAACGCCGAGGAAACAUUCGUCUGUUUCUCG